GAUUAACGCUGGCGGCGUGCCUAACACAUGCAAGUCGAGCGGCAGCGAGUUUUACACUGAAUUCUGGAAGCUUCUAGUUGAAAGAGAAGAUUUAUUCAAGAAUUUUGUGUAAAAUGUCGGCGAGCGGCGGACGGCUGAGUAACGCGUGGGAACGUACCCCAAAGUGAGGGAUAACGCAUCGAAAGGUGUGCUAAUACCGCAUAUGGUCUUCGGAUUAAAUCCUUCGGGCGCUUUGGGAACGGCCUGCGUAAGAUUAGAUAGUUGGUGGGGUAAUGGCCUACCAAGGGGACGAUCGUUAACUGGUUUGAGAGGAUGAUCAGUCAGACUGGAACUGAGACACGGUCCAGACUCCUACGGGAGGCAGCAGUGAGGAAUCUUCCACAAUGGGCGAAAGCCUGAUGGAGCAACGCCGCGUGCAGGAUGAAGGCCUUCGGGUUGUAAACUGCUUUUAUAAGUGAGGAUUAUGACAGUAACUUAUGAAUAAGGAUCGGCUAACUACGUG
rnacentral:rRNA from 1 species